rnacentral:ncRNA from 1 species
GCCUCCCAAAAGGUAACGGAGGUGUGAAACGGUUUCCUCAGGCCAGAUGGAGAUUAGCCCUCGAGUGCAAGGGCAUAAGGGAUCUUAACUGCAAGACCCACCCGUCGAGAAGGGACGAAAGAAAUAUAAUAAUGGAAUGAACGUUGAUGGAAAUAGAACACAUUGUUAUAAUCACCAUCGGGAUGAUCGACAAUGGAAAAGAAUUAAC